CCGGGUGCCUGGUGGGGACCCGGGAAACCGCAUCCCCGCCGGGAGCCAGAGCGCCUUCCGGCCACCCACCCGCUGGCGCCCCCGUCUCCUCCUAGGCACCCCGCUGUGCCGGAAGCAAACCAGGACCGCCCAGAGGCGCCUUUGCGAUGAAAACUGCGGCCUGAGAAAGCCUCCGCCGAGUCUGUAAACGCCAUCGCCUACCCUUUGCUUUCAAAAUGGAUUUUCCAACCGGGUUUCUUCCUUUAACGGAUUCCCUGGUCGGCCUUUGGGUCUGAGAAAACCAUUCUAGCAGGGAGAGGCUGAAAGGAAGGAUUACAUGGCUCUAAGCCCUCAAAGUCAGGCUGGUUCUUGCUCUGCUUGUCAUUCACACUGAAGUAAAUGUUUUGCUCACCCCACCCCUUCCCCCAACAAGAUGAUUUUAGGCUUACGGGAUGAUUUAUCCCUCUGGGCGCUCCACAGAUUAUUUCCUUCUGGCCCCCCCGAAAAGCAGUUAUUUCAGAGGCUAAGGGUAGCAGCUGCCUGGAACACAUCUUAACACAUCUUGGGAAGGAGACAGACCUCAGUGCUACAAAACCAAGGCAGGUGGCUACCAUCUUAGGAAAAUACAGACGACCAAGUCCUGGGUUCAAGUUCCCUCUCUACAGUCUACCAGGCCCAGUAGCGCUGAUGCUUCUGCUCUGAGUCAUCUGACUUCUUCCUCCUGCUGCCCCCUUUCUGCACACCCGCUUGUGUGCGAUACAGCAGCCAGGUCCCCAACAUGAAGGAGACGCCAGCGUGUGGAGGGUUACCUGCUCUUAGGGCUGCUCCUCUAGAAGGAGAGGAAGCGCUCAAGUUGUGCCUCUGGCAUGAAUGGUCCCGAGACCAAGUGCGCAAAGCCCAGUGACCACUUUCAGGGCAACAACCAUUUGCCAGUAUCACCAGUUUUAUCCUGAGCUCUGUGCACACAGGCAGAUAGAGACAGAGACAAAGACGGAGAGAAGAUGAAACCACACGGGAGAAAAAGACCGUGAGUUUGCCGGUGGAAGAAUGGUAUAUCGUUUCUCCCUUCCUUCUGGCCUAGAACGAGAAACCUCAGCAUCACGUCUGUUUCCCGCAAUUUCAGAUGUGAAGACGUUAACGGCAGUCUGCGUAGGGUGGCAGAAACAUGGAAGGAAAAAACAGCUCUGUGUCGUCUCCAGAAUGGAAGUGAUUCAAACAAGGACACUAAUGAUGAUUCAACUCAAGCACCCGGCACCUUCCUGAAACCCUGCCUUACCUCCUCACACCUGCCCUGCACAGAACUGAGCACUCUCCUCUGACUCCACCUGCCCCCAUGGCAACCCUCCAGCUCUGGAUACGGAAAUGUUCGUUGCCUUCCUACAGGGUCAGAGACGAAGCCUAACCCAUGUUGGCAGCCAGCGUUUCAGCAGGAAGUCCAGAGUGCUGUUGCCAUCGGUAAAUUCUAUGCAAGAAGAGGGAGAGGAAGAGGGUUGGAGAAAGGGAAGGAGAAAGAGGAGGAGGGGGAGAAGCAGAAGGAGGCAGAAGGAAGGACCUAGAAGACAAGACGAGGAACUCCCACAACCCAGCCUUUCCAGGGAGACUUGUAACGUGAAGGGCGUCCAAACCUUAUAAAUAAGGCGUGUGGCGGGACGGGGCUCUCUGGGGGUGCAGUGGGUGCAGCAGGAGCCUGCUCAUCCUGGCUCCCAGGAACCCAUCAUCCUCAUUUCAGGUGGGGAGGCCUGAAAGUGGCCAAGAUGUGCCAGCAUUCCUACGCCAAACCCUUCUCAAGAGCCAACUUUCCCAGCAGGCCACUGGCAACAACGUUUCUCCGUGACUCCGAAAGCAAUGAAAUUCUACAUACCGAGUGACACAACAGUGUGAGGCACAGACGGACCCUGAAAGCACAGCCAGCAUCCGCCCAGGGUUAAGGCUGGCCCUGGGUGGGUGCACCCACCCAUCCCAGCCCCUGCUGCACCUUCAGCCUCCUCAUCAAAGUCAGCGCGGAGGCACCCUUGGAGGCUCUUGUCUCGUUGCUGUUGAUUUCUUCUAAUCUGUUCAAAGCAGGCUAAUAAUAAAACACAUUAUGUUAAUGACUUACGAGUCAUAAAACCAAACAAUCAGAUGAACUAUUGGCCUAAUAUUUUCAUGAGAGAAUGUGCACGUGACUCUGCAGCCCGGUGCCAGUUACAUUUCUAUUUACAUGGAGCUUGGGGACAAUUAGGACAUUUAUCUCACUUAGUCACUAGUCGCCCCUCCCCCCAACUCUCUUCUCCCUCGUCCCAAAAGACAUGAAAAAACGUUUUCAUUAUAAACUGCUAUCUGUGGCUGAAAGCAGCUAUUUUUAAAAAAUGAUGUCAUGGCGUCUAGAAUGCUACAUUGUUCGGUGGCAGAGAACACUCAAUGGAUUCUUUGGUUCUAGCUGUUUCUACGUGUUAAGUGAACACGAAGUAAUCUCCCCUUUUCAUCGCGUAUCUUCUUUUGCCCAUUUUCAGAACUGUCAUUUGAGACCUUAGGGAAAUUUCAGUGAGUUUAUAUUUCUUUCCGACCUUCAAAUAAUUCACAUUUCCAUAUAUUGUAAGUGCAUAUUACUAUCUCCUUCCUUUAUAGGACUUUGUUACCAUCUUUAUAACUCAGAAGAACAUUCCUAUUACAUAAGCAUAUAUUUGUAUAUUUAAGAGACAUUUACUUGUUUUACCAAACCUGACUAAGUCCUGAAUUAUUUUCUAUGGGAUACCCUCAGGAAUGGAAAUUAUCUUCUGUUUUGUAUUUUGCAAGAAGAAAUUUAAAAAACAACCUCUUCUACCAAUGACAACAACAAGUGACACCAACACGUAGCAACAAAUAUUUCUUAUUUACCUGUACAGAAUUUUUUUUAAAUUGCCUUUAGGCAAUUUCUAGCUAUAUUCUUUCAGCUAUAUUCUUUCAAACAAUGUGAAGAAUAAAUUGCACUUUUACCAGGACCAUAUUUUCUAUGAGAAAAAUAAACUUC